UGCAGUCGAGGGGUAACAUGGUUGCUUGCAACUGAUGACGACCGGCGCACGGGUGCGUAACGCGUAUAGAACCUACCUUAUAGUAAGGGAUAGCCCAGAGAAAUUUGGAUUAAUACCUUAUAGUAUCUUAAGUAAGCAUUUACUAAGGAUUAAAGAUUUAUUGCUAUAAGAUGGCUAUGCGUUCUAUUAGCUAGUUGGUAUGGUAACGGCAUACCAAGGCUACGAUAGAUAGGGGUCCUGAGAGGGAGAUCCCCCACACUGGUACUGAGACACGGACCAGACUCCUACGGGAGGCAGCAGUGAGGAAUAUUGGACAAUGGAGGCAACUCUGAUCCAGCCAUGCCGCGUGUAGGAAGACUGCCCUAUGGGUUGUAAACUACUUUUAUAGAGGAAGAAACCGCAAUACGUGUAUUGCUCUGACGGUACUCUACGAAUAAGGAUCGGCUAACUCCGUGCCAGCAGCCGCGGUAAUACGGAGGAUCCAAGCGUUAUCCGGAAUCAUUGGGUUUAAAGGGUCCGUAGGCGGGUCUAUAAGUCAGUGGUGAAAGUUUGCGGCUCAACCGUAAAAUUGCCAUUGAUACUGUAGGUCUUGAAUUAUUGUGAAGUGGUUAGAAUGUGUAGUGUAGCGGUGAAAUGCAUAGAUAUUACACAGAAUACCGAUUGCGAAGGCAGAUCACUAACAAUUGAUUGACGCUAAGGGACGAAAGCGUGGGUAGCGAACAGGAUUAGAUACCCUGGUAGUCCACGCCGUAAACGAUGGUUACUAGCUGUUUGGUUUUUAACUGAGUGGCUAAGCGAAAGUGAUAAGUAACCCACCUGGGGAGUACGUUCGCAAGAAUGAAACUCAAAGGAAUUGACGGGGGCCCGCACAAGCGGUGGAGCAUGUGG
rnacentral:rRNA from 1 species